AGUGAACGCUGGCGGUAGGCCUAACACAUGCAAGUCGAACGGCAGCACAGUAAGAGCUUGCUCUUACGGGUGGCGAGUGGCGGACGGGUGAGGAAUACAUCGGAAUCUACUUUUUCGUGGGGGAUAACGUAGGGAAACUUACGCUAAUACCGCAUACGACCUACGGGUGAAAGCAGGGGAUCUUCGGACCUUGCGCGAUUGAAUGAGCCGAUGUCGGAUUAGCUAGUUGGCGGGGUAAACGCCCACCAAGGCGACGAUCCGUAGCUGGUCUGAGAGGAUGAUCAGCCACACUGGAACUGAGACACGGUCCAGACUCCUACGGGAGGCAGCAGUGGGGAAUAUUGGACAAUGGGCGCAAGCCUGAUCCAGCCAUACCGCGUGGGUGAAGAAGGCCUUCGGGUUGUAAAGCCCUUUUUUUGGGAAAGAAAAGCAGCAGGUUAAUACCCCGCUGUUCUGACGGUACCCAAAGAAUAAGCACCGGCUAACUUCGUG
rnacentral:rRNA from 1 species